UCGUGGCGACGUGGGCGGUUCGCUGCCUUCGACGUUGCGAGAAGUCCACUGAACCUUAUCAUUUAGAGGAAGGAGAAGUCGUAACAAGGUUUCCGUAGGUGAACCUGCGGAAGGAUCAUUGUCGAAACCUGCCAAGCAGUUUGACUUGAGAACUUGUGCCAAAAUACCAAUGCAAUCUCGUUGUGGUUGUGCUCUUGGGUGCGACCAUGAUGAACAACAAACCCCCGGCGCGGUAUGCGCCAAGGAUUACUGAACUGAGAUUGCUGCCUUGCCCCGCUCCGUUCGCGGUUCUGCGGGCAGUGUUAGCAUCUUUAUAAACAAUAUGACUCUCGGCAACGGAUAUCUCGGCUCUCGCAUCGAUGAAGAACGUAGCGAAAUGCGAUACUUGGUGUGAAUUGCAGAAUCCCGUGAACCAUCGAGUCUUUGAACGCAAGUUGCGCCCAAGGCCAUCAGGCUUAGGGCACGUCUGCCUGGGUGUCACGUGACUUGUCGCUCCCUUCUAGAUUUUGGGAGGAGCGGAUCAUGUCCUCCCGUGCCCUACCAUUUGGUGCGGUGGGACCAAAUGCUUGAUACUGUUGAUGGACGUUCUGCGAUUGGUGGUUGUGCCUAGAGUGCAAACGUCGUUCCACGUCCAAUCGUUUGCGGAUAUCAGACCCGUUGGAGUCAAAAAGUGAUUUGGCUUACGAAAUGCGAUCCCAGGUCAGGCGGGACUACCCGCUGAGUUUAAGCAUAUCAAUAAGC
rnacentral:rRNA from 1 species